UGUGUUGUUUUUCUCGUGUCGCAAACAAAUGCAAAUGCCGCUCAAAGUUGUUUUUAUUUGUUCAAUAUUCUUUGUUUUUAUUUUUUUAUGGACCAAAUUUAACCCCAAAAUGAUGUGAAGGUAAAUUUCUAACUUUCUUAAGCACCAUUUAGUUAACCCUUUAAUACACCCAUCUAUGUAUGUUAUAAUUCUAUUCUACAUAAUUAAUGUGUGCAAUGUCUGUCAUCUCAUCAAGGUUGCAUUAGCAUUAAUAGAUCAAAUGGAUCAUUGGCAUUUCAAAUUUUUACAUAAAGUUGCUGAAUAGACAAUACUCUUUUUGAGCUAAGGAUUCUCAUUGCAUUCUUGACUAAAUAUUUUCAUAAAAUUUAUCUAGCUGACAUUUUCAGGGUGCAGGCAGGUGCAGGCCGCAGGGUGCCUGUGACAAUAGGGAUACAACAGGAUAUUACAAUGGUACAAUACAGUAAGCCAAGCUGAAUAAUCAAUCCAAAAAACAAAGGAAAUUUUAUUGGCAUGGUUUCUUUGUUUUCACUGGUUUUAACAGACAUAAUAUGUAAGCAAGUCUGGAAAAGUAGACUGAUCACAUCAUCAUCAUUGUUUAUUGUUACACACAUAUCUGUAUUUUACUAUUCCUAGAUGAUCUUUGUGUGAUUUGUUGUCCCAAGAACCUUGAAUCGAGAAUCGUCCCUCAGACCUCUUAAAGAACAAAAUUGUAUGGAUGCAGCCAACAGUAGCAUUGAAGAUAUAUUAGUUAGUGGUUAUUUUUAUCUUAAUCAACAAUGGUGAUAAAAAAAGAAAUUUAUAAUUGCCUGAACUAAGAAGGAUUCCAAUAUCCAGCAGUCUAGAUGGGGAUUGGCAUGGAUUACAAUUCCACAUAGGGCAAAAAAAUAUCAGUGUUGAAGAGAAACACCUGUGAAUCAAUGUUGGUGUAAAAGAUCUUUCGUUUUUCAACUUCUUCUACAGUCACUCUGUAACAACGUGAACAAGAUUACUGAACUCUGGAAUCUUUAGAUCACGACCGAGAUGGGCGAAAUUUUUUUUUUCCCGGAAGAAAUAUAAGCAUUUUGUGAUAAAACUCUUGCCAUGAAGGAAAGUAAU